rnacentral:rRNA from 1 species
GACGAACGCUGGCGGCGUGCUUAACACAUGCAAGUCGAACGGAAAGGCCCUUCGGGGUCCUCGAGUGGCGAACGGGUGAGUAACACGUGGGUGAUCUGCCCUGCACUUUGGGAUAAGCCUGGGAAACUGGGUCUAAUACCGAAUAUGAUCAUCGGCUUCAUGGUCGGUGGUGGAAAGCUUUUGCGGUGUGGGAUGGGCCUGCGGCCUAUCAGCUUGUUGGUGGGGUAAUGGCCUACCAAGGCGACGACGGGUAGCCGGCCUGAGAGGGUGACCGGCCACACUGGGACUGAGAUACGGCCCAGACUCCUACGGGAGGCAGCAGUGGGGAAUAUUGCACAAUGGGCGCAAGCCUGAUGCAGCGACGCCGCGUGAGGGAUGACGGCCUUCGGGUUGUAAACCUCUUUCAGCACAGACGAAGCGCAAGUGACGGUAUGUGCAGAAGAAGGACCGGCCAACUACGUG